AUUGAACGCUGGCGGCAUGCCUUACACAUGCAAGUCGAACGGCAGCGGACCUUCGGGUGCCGGCGAGUGGCGAACGGGUGAGUAAUAUAUCGGAACGUACCUUUCAGUGGGGGAUAACGUAGCGAAAGUUACGCUAAUACCGCAUAUUCUGUGAGCAGGAAAGCAGGGGAUCGCAAGACCUUGCGCUGAUUGAGCGGCCGAUAUCAGAUUAGCUAGUUGGUGAGGUAAAGGCUCACCAAGGCGACGAUCUGUAGCGGGUCUGAGAGGAUGAUCCGCCACACUGGAACUGAGACACGGUCCAGACUCCUACGGGAGGCAGCAGUGGGGAAUUUUGGACAAUGGGCGCAAGCCUGAUCCAGCCAUGCCGCGUGAACG
rnacentral:rRNA from 1 species